UUUCCAUAAUUGAUUUCUCAUCAAAUUCAGACAAGCUGGAAGGAUCGCCAUUUACAUCACCUGUUACACAUUUUUUAAGGGCAGCUUUAGAAUAAACAGCCUCAGGACCAAGUUGUUCUCUGCAUCCAGGUGUAGGACAUGUAUUAUCUUCCCCAGUUAAAUAAUCUGAUACACAUUGGUUGCAGAAUACAUGUCCGCAUAUGGUAACAACUGCAUCUUCAGGCACAUCAUCGCAUACGGAACACGUUACUAAAGAAGUUUCCAAUUGUUUCAAGAGAUUCUCCACCAUUUCCUUUGGGAGCUUCUUUGCCAUCUCUGAUGAAGCUCUUCCAACAGAAUUGUAACUCUCCCUUUUUACAAGUUUUGGGUGGUCACAAGCCUGCCGAAGUCGCAGAAGCAUCAACAAAAUAUUCGCAUAGUUUUGCUUCACAGUUCCAGCUGCAGCAUAUGCCUUAAAUUGUGAUCGUGAUUCCGCUUCUAAUUUGUUAUAGAAAGCUCGUUCCUCUGAAGAGAAAGCCACCUUCUUCAACUGUAUAGUUUUUGGUGGUAAGUUUAUAAUUGGCUCACCAUCAAUCACGG
rnacentral:misc_RNA from 1 species